rnacentral:rRNA from 1 species
GAGUUUGAUUAUGGCUCAGGACGAACGCUGGCGGCGUGCUUAACACAUGCAAGUCGAACGUGAUUUUUGUGGAAAGCCCUUCGGGGACGGAAGCGAAAUGAAAGUGGCGAACGGGUGAGUAACACGUGAGCAACCUACCUUACACAGGGGGAUAGCCGUUGGAAACGACGAUUAAUACCGCAUGAGACCACAAAGCCACAUGGCUUAGGGGUAAAAGAUUUAUCGGUGUAAGAUGGGCUCGCGUCUGAUUAGCUAGUUGGAAGGGUAAAGGCCUACCAAGGCAACGAUCAGUAGCCGGUCUGAGAGGAUGAACGGCCACAUUGGAACUGAGACACGGUCCAAACUCCUACGGGAGGCAGCAGUGGGGAAUAUUGCACAAUGGGGGGAACCCUGAUGCAGCGACGCCGCGUGAGCGAAGAAGGUUUUCGAAUCGUAAAGCUCUGUCCUAUGAGAGGAUAAUGACG